rnacentral:lncRNA from 1 species
CAAACACCAGUGAUGGGAACACUGAACCUCACAUAAGAAGCACAUGAAGAACAGCAGUGAAACCAAGGAUUCUAGCAAGGCCAGCUAUUAGCAAAGCAGUAAGCAGGAACUGGACUAGAUACCAAAUGAUGGGGAAACAGACUCAUAGACCUAAGAACAUAGGAAGAAGAGAUGUAACAUCAACAGAAAGGCAAAAGGCAAUUGGAAUGGAGAAUCUGGACGCCAGCAGC